rnacentral:rRNA from 1 species
GGUUAAGCGACUAAGCGUACACGGUGGAUGCCCUGGCAGUCAGAGGCGAUGAAGGACGUGCUAAUCUGCGAUAAGCGUCGGUAAGGUGAUAUGAACCGUUAUAACCGGCGAUUUCCGAAUGGGGAAACCCAGUGUGAUUCGUCACACUAUCAUUAACUGAAUCCAUAGGUUAAUGAGGCGAACCGGGGGAACUGAAACAUCUAAGUACCCCGAGGAAAAGAAAUCAACCGAGAUUCCCCCAGUAGCGGCGAGCGAACGGGGAGCAGCCCAGAGCCUGAAUCAGUGUGUGUGUUAGUGGAAGCGUCUGGAAAGGCGCGCGAUACAGGGUGACAGCCCCGUACACAAAAAUGCACAUACUGUGAGCUCGAUGAGUAGGGCGGGACACGUGGUAUCCUGUCUGAAUAUGGGGGACCAUCCUCCAAGGCUAAAUACUCCUGACUGACCGAUAGUGAACCAGUACCGUGAGGGAAAGGCGAAAAGAACCCCGGCGAGGGGGAGUGAAAAGAACCUGAAACCGUGUACGUACAAGCAGUGGGAGCCUCUUUUAUGGGGUGACUGCGUACCUUUUGUAUAAUGGGUCAGCGACUUAUAUUCUGUAGCAAGGUUAACCGAAUAGGGGAGCCGAAGGGAAACCGAGUCUUAACCGGGCGUUAAGUUGCAGGGUAUAGACCCGAAACCCGGUGAUCUAGCCAUGGGCAGGUUGAAGGUUGGGUAACACUAACUGGAGGACCGAACCGACUAAUGUUGAAAAAUUAGCGGAUGACUUGUGGCUGGGGGUGAAAGGCCAAUCAAACCGGGAGAUAGCUGGUUCUCCCCGAAAGCUAUUUAGGUAGCGCCUCGUGAAUUCAUCUCCGGGGGUAGAGCACUGUUUCGGCAAGGGGGUCAUCCCGACUUACCAACCCGAUGCAAACUGCGAAUACCGGAGAAUGUUAUCACGGGAGACACACGGCGGGUGCUAACGUCCGUCGUGAAGAGGGAAACAACCCAGACCGCCAGCUAAGGUCCCAAAGUCAUGGUUAAGUGGGAAACGAUGUGGGAAGGCCCAGACAGCCAGGAUGUUGGCUUAGAAGCAGCCAUCAUUUAAAAGAAAGCGUAAUAGCUCACUGGUCGAGUCGGCCUGCGCGGAAGAUGUAACGGGGCUAAACCAUGCACCGAAGCUGCGGCAGCGACACUGUGUGUUGUUGGGUAGGGGAGCGUUCUGUAAGCCUGUGAAGGUGUACUGUGAGGUAUGCUGGAGGUAUCAGAAGUGCGAAUGCUGACAUAAGUAACGAUAAAGCGGGUGAAAAGCCCGCUCGCCGGAAGACCAAGGGUUCCUGUCCAACGUUAAUCGGGGCAGGGUGAGUCGACCCCUAAGGCGAGGCCGAAAGGCGUAGUCGAUGGGAAACAGGUUAAUAUUCCUGUACUUGGUGUUACUGCGAAGGGGGGGACGGAGAAGGCUAUGUUGGCCGGGCGACGGUUGUCCCGGUUUAAGCGUGUAGGCUGGUUUUCCAGGCAAAUCCGGAAAAUCAAGGCUGAGGCGUGAUGACGAGGCACUACGGUGCUGAAGCAACAAAUGCCCUGCUUCCAGGAAAAGCCUCUAAGCAUCAGGUAACAUCAAAUCGUACCCCAAACCGACACAGGUGGUCAGGUAGAGAAUACCAAGGCGCUUGAGAGAACUCGGGUGAAGGAACUAGGCAAAAUGGUGCCGUAACUUCGGGAGAAGGCACGCUGAUAUGUAGGUGAAGUCCCUCGCGGAUGGAGCUGAAAUCAGUCGAAGAUACCAGCUGGCUGCAACUGUUUAUUAAAAACACAGCACUGUGCAAACACGAAAGUGGACGUAUACGGUGUGACGCCUGCCCGGUGCCGGAAGGUUAAUUGAUGGGGUCAGCGCAAGCGAAGCUCUUGAUCGAAGCCCCGGUAAACGGCGGCCGUAACUAUAACGGUCCUAAGGUAGCGAAAUUCCUUGUCGGGUAAGUUCCGACCUGCACGAAUGGCGUAAUGAUGGCCGGGGCUGUCUCCACCCGAGACUCAGUGAAAUUGAACUCGCUGUGAAGAUGCAGUGUACCCGCGGCAAGACGGAAAGACCCCGUGAACCUUUACUAUAGCUUGACACUGAACAUUGAGCCUUGAUGUGUAGGAUAGGUGGGAGGCUUUGAAGUGUGGACGCCAGUCUGCAUGGAGCCGACCUUGAAAUACCACCCUUUAAUGUUUGAUGUUCUAACGUGGACCCGUGAUCCGGGUUGCGGACAGUGUCUGGUGGGUAGUUUGACUGGGGCGGUCUCCUCCUAAAGAGUAACGGAGGAGCACGAAGGUUGGCUAAUCCUCGGUCGGACAUCAGGAGGUUAGUGCAAUGGCAUAAGCCAGCUUGACUGCGAGCGUGACGGCGCGAGCAGGUGCGAAAGCAGGUCAUAGUGAUCCGGUGGUUCUGAAUGGAAGGGCCAUCGCUCAACGGAUAAAAGGUACUCCGGGGAUAACAGGCUGAUACCGCCCAAGAGUUCAUAUCGACGGCGGUGUUUGGCACCUCGAUGUCGGCUCAUCACAUCCUGGGGCUGAAGUAGGUCCCAAGGGUAUGGCUGUUCGCCAUUUAAAGUGGUACGCGAGCUGGGUUUAGAACGUCGUGAGACAGUUCGGUCCCUAUCUGCCGUGGGCGCUGGAGAACUGAGGGGGGCUGCUCCUAGUACGAGAGGACCGGAGUGGACGCAUCACUGGUGUUCGGGUUGUCAUGCCAAUGGCACUGCCCGGUAGCUAAAUGCGGAAGAGAUAAGUGCUGAAAGCAUCUAAGCACGAAACUUGCCCCGAGAUGAGUUCUCCCUGACCCUUUAAGGGUCCUGAAGGAACGUUGAAGACGACGACGUUGAUAGGCCGGGUGUGUAAGCGCAGCGAUGCGUUGAGCUAACCGGUACUAAUGAACCGUGAGGCUUAACCUU